CCUACGGGCGGCAGCAGUGAGGAAUAUUGGUCAAUGGACGAGAGUCUGAACCAGCCAAGUAGCGUGAAGGAUGACUGCCCUAUGGGUUGUAAACUUCUUUUAUAUGGGAAUAAAAUGUUCCACGUGUGGGAUUUUGUAUGUACCAUAUGAAUAAGGAUCGGCUAAGUCCGUGCCAUCAGCCGCGGUAAUACGGAGGAUCCGAGCGUUAUCCGGAUUUAUUGGGUUUAAAGGGAGCGUAGGUGGAUUGUUAAGUCAGUUGUGAAAGUUUGCGGCUCAACCGUAAAAUUGCAGUUGAAACUGGCAGUCUUGAGUACAGUAGAGGUGGGCGGAAUUCGUGGUGUAGCGGUGAAAUGCUUAGAUAUCACGAAGAACUCCGAUUGCGAAGGCAGCUCACUGGACUGCAACUGACACUGAGGCUCGAAAGUGUGGGUAUCAAACAGGAUUAGAUACCCCUGUAGUC
rnacentral:rRNA from 1 species